rnacentral:rRNA from 1 species
GAUGAACGCUGGCGGCGUGCCUAACACAUGCAAGUCGUACGAAAAAGAAAUUUUUAGUGCCAAACGGGUGAGUAACGCGUGAAAAUUUACUCUUAUGGGAGAGGAUAACUGUUAGAACUAUUAGCUAAAACUCUAUAUGCUUUAAAUAAGUGAAAAAAGAAAUCUGCCUACGAGAAAGCUCGCGUCAGAUUAGCUAGCUGGUAGGGUAAAGGCCUACCAGGGCGAUGAUCGGGAGAUGGUCUGAGAGGAUGAUCAGCCACACUGGAACGGAGGCACGGUCCAGAGUCCUACGGGAGGCAGCAGUAAGGAAUUUUCUGCAAUGGGCGAAAGCCGGACAGAGCAACGCCGCGUGAGGGAAGAAGGCCUUCGGGUUGUAAACCUCUUUUCUCAAGGAGGAAGAUCUGACGUUACUUGAGGAAUAAGCAUCGGCUAACCCUGUGCCAGCCGCCGCAGUAAUAC